rnacentral:lncRNA from 1 species
GAAAACCAAUUGUUGGCUGACACAAUAUAAUAAUUUCAAGACAUAAAUUUAUAAUCAUUUAUUAUUCAAAUUAAUAAAAUGAGCAGAUUUUUAUGCAUUCUUGUUAUUGUGUCUUUGAAUCAUCUAAAGAAUUAAUGCUUAAGAUAUGUAUUCUCAAGAGUUAAAAAUUUAAGACAUAUAUAAUUAAUUUUCAAAUUACUCCUGACUCACGGGGAUGGUGAUUGAUCCAG